rnacentral:rRNA from 1 species
UGGGGAAUAUUGCACAAUGGGGGAAACCCUGAUGCAGCGACGCCGCGUGAGCGAUGAAGGCUUUCGAGUCGUAAAGCUCUGUCCUAUGGGAAGAUAAUGACGGUACCAUAGAAGAAAGCCCCGGCUAAUUACGUGCCAGCAGCCGCGGUAAUACGUAAGGGGCGAGCGUUGUCCGGAAUUAUUGGGCGUAAAGCGCGCGUAGGCGGUCUGUUAGGUCAGGAGUCAAAUCUGGGGGCGCAACCCCUAUCCGCUCCUGAUACCGGCAGGCUUGAGUCUGGUAUGGGAAGGUGGAAUUCCAAGUGUAGCGGUGAAAUGCGCAGAUAUUUGGAAGAACACCAGUGGCGAAGGCGGCCUUCUGGGCCAUGACUGACGCUGAGGCGCGAAAGCUAGGGGAGCGAACAGG